UUGAACGCUGGCGGCAUGCCUUGCACAUGCAAGUCGAGCGGCAGCACGGGUGCUUGCACCUGGUGGCGAGUGGCGAACGGGUGAGUAAUACAUCGGAACAUGUCCUGUAGUGGGGGAUAGCCCGGCGAAAGCCGGAUUAAUACCGCAUACGAUCUACGGAUGAAAGCGGGGGACCUUCGGGCCUCGCGCUAUAGGGUUGGCCGAUGGCUGAUUAGCUAGUUGGUGGGGUAAAGGCCUACCAAGGCGACGAUCAGUAGCUGGUCUGAGAGGACGACCAGCCACACUGGGACUGAGACACGGCCCAGACUCCUACGGGAGGCAGCAGUGGGGAAUUUUGGACAAUGGGCGAAAGCCUGAUCCAGCAAUGCCGCGUGUGUGAAGAAGGCCUUCGGGUUGUAAAGCACUUUUGUCCGGAAAGAAAUCCUUGGCCCUAAUACGGUCGGGGGAUGACGGUACCGGAAGAAUAAGCACCGGCUAACUACGUG
rnacentral:rRNA from 1 species